rnacentral:tRNA from 2 species
GCCGGUGUAGCUCAGCUGGCAGAGCACCUGACUUGUAAUCAGGGGGUCGCGAGUUCAAAUCUCGCCGCCGGCUCCA